UCUUCCAGUAGAUUCUGACUGAUUCUUUAUUGCCAUAAUUUAACAAAUACUGCCAUGAAUGAAUGAUUUCAUUUGCUAUUAUUGAAGUUGUCUUGACAUGAGAUUAAGGUCUAAUAACGGGUAUGCAGACCAUCAUUGCUUAAUCAGAUAAUUAAUGGAUGUUCUUUCGCCGUGAUUGAAUCUCCCGCUGCGAUGCAUGUGUAGGCGGAUGUGUGUUUGCUUGUAAGUGCGCGGUGAUUACCUCGAAUCUCAACAUGCAAGUUACAGAUAUUGGAUCUAGAGAAGAAGGGAAAAUAUGGCACCGAAAAUUAGUAACAUCAAAAUUUGGCGCUUUAGUCACUCUGAUUCGUAGCGCGUCUGCUCGUCAAACCAAGACGGUUCGAAUGCUGCAUGUGGCUUUUGACACUACAGGGGAGUCGUUUAUCGCUGGUGACCAUCAUGGCCAUAUCUAUGUGUUUGACAUUAGCAGGAACAGAUUUAAGUUGGUCCAGAAAACAGGGCAAGCAUGUACUGCAUUAGCCUUCAACUUGAGAAGAACGACUGAGUUCCUGGUUGCUCUUGCUGAUUAUUCCAUUAAAUGCUUCGACAAAGACACCAGACAGUUGGUGAGUUGGAUGCGGGGUCAUGAGGGUGCUGUUUCUUCCCUGUCUGUGCACAGCUCAGGCUGUUAUGCCAUCAGCACUUCAUCAGACACAGCUCAGCUCUGGGACAUUGACACCUUCCAGAGAAAGAGAAAGCUCAAUAUUCGGCAAUCAGUUGGCAUACAAAAGGUGUUUUUUCUCCCACACAGUAACACUAUUCUCAGUUGCUUUAGUGAUGACUCAAUUUUUGCUUGGGAGAGCGACACACUUUUUUGCAAGUAUCAGCUGCCUGUUCCACAGGAUGGGCCCAGAAUACACUACAGGACAUUUGCUGUUACUCAAGAUGGAAAAACACUUGCUGCAGCUGGACGCUCCAAUUUAGUCCACUUGUGGUGCCUGGAGAGCCAACAGCUGUUGAGAGUUAUCCAAAUGUCUCCAAAAGUCAGGACAGUAAGAUACCUGGAUUUCCUGCCAGAUAGUUUUGAUGGUGGAUCCAACCAGACUCUGGGUGUUUUGAGCCAAGAAGGCAUCAUGCGCUUCAUUAAUAUUCAGACAUGCAAGCAGAUCUUUGAAAUAGGGUCUCAUGAGGAUGCCAUCUCCUCAGCAAGCAUUAGUCCUAAGGGCCAUCAUAUUGUUGCUGUAAUGGACAGUGGUGCACUUAAAAUCUAUGACGUACGAAGUCUUACACCAGAUAUCAGUCAGCCUCCUCAGCCUUUGUUGAAAAAGGUCACAAAAGGCAACAGCAAUGAGGGGUUCUGUUUGAAAGUGAAGGUGCAAACGGGAACAGGUCAGCAUCCGGUCAAAACAUCAGGACGCAGAAUCCAAACCAAAGUACUCCCACGGCCCACUGCUUCUACACUGGAUAACAAAGAGAUUGAUUUGCCCAAUGGCCUGAAUAGGAAAAGACUACAAGCAUUACUGAGAGCAUUUGGGGAAUUCCCAGCCAAAUACAGGAUGUUUAUUUGGCGUUCUCUGUUGCAUCUGCCUGAGAACCAUGCAGCUUUCAGCAGUUUGACCAACAAAGGCUUGUACUCUGCAUACAUGUCCCUUCAGGAACGGUUCCCCAUCAAAAGCCACAAACUGCAGAGAGGCCUACAGAGAGUGCUUUCUGCCCUUGCUCACUGGGCAGCCGUCUUUGGUGAGACAGAUUAUCUCCCUCUACUGGCCUUUCCAUUUGUCAAACUGUUCCAGAACAAUCCACUGAUCUGCUUUGAAGUAGUGGCCACAGUCAUUGUGAACUGGUGCCAGCACUGGUUUGAGUACUUUCCGAACCCUCCACUUAAUGUUCUGAACCUGGCUGAGAAUGUGCUGGCCCAUCAUGAUAGAGAGCUGCUUCAGCAUUUUGUUGCCUGUGGUGUUACCUCACAGCUGUAUGCAUGGCCCCUUUUUGAAACUCUGUUCUCUGAGGUACUGAUCAGAGAAGAGUGGCUGAAACUAUUUGACAACGUUUUCUCGAAUCAUCCCUCGUUUCUUCUUAUGGCUGUGGUGGCCUAUGUUACCUGCUGCAGAGCACCACUGCUGCUUUGUACUGACAAGAAGGACUUUGAGUACUUUUUCCAUCAUCGGAACAGCUUGGACAUUGGCGCCAUGCUGAAAGAAGCCUAUCGGCUGAUGGAAAACACCCCUGCUGACAUCCACCCCAGCUCCACGCUGAGUGAAUUUGAACCUCUUACACAGGGGCAGUACCCCAUCUUUAACAAAUACCCCACCUUCAUAGUGGAGUACCAAUCCCAAGAACGCGAGAGGAUCCGUCAUCAGGAAGUGGAAUAUCUAAGAGAGAGACAGGAGGUUCAGGAGCUGCAUGCUGAGGCAGUCAGACAGCAGGCUGAGUUUGAGGCCUGGUACAAACAGCAGGAGCUGCUUGUGCAAGGAGAGGAGCAACAUAGAAGGAUCCUACAGGAAGAGGAGAAUAAACUUGCAGAACAGAGAGCUAGAUUGGCUGCUAUGAAGCGUGAGCUAAAGGUGAAGGAACUCAAUCUGAUUGACUCUGCCAGAAGACGUUUUCUAAAGCACCAACAGGAUCAGCGCAGAAUCCAGCUCCAGAGACUUGAUGAUGAGAUUCAGAGAAAGAUGGUGCUGCGAGAUCAGGAGACGGCGACAGCUGUUCAUGAUAUAGAAGUAAGACAGAUGGAGCUGGAUGCACAGCGACACCUUUUUGAACAGCAACUGGCCAAGGAGCAGGAGCAAGUGAGUCAGGAGGUGAAUGCGGAGGUGGAAACACGGAGACGCAGGGCUGAAAUAGAAGAUUCUACCCUCCACAAUCUCAUUGAAACAGAUGCUGAUCUCAGCCAGAAAAACAAGAGGGUAAUGGAAGAGUCUCUGGCAGAGGUGGGGCAGAUGGAAGUGGAUGCUGAUUGGCAGGCCGAGGUGAUCAAGCGAUUGCAGAAGACAGAGGAGAGGCAGGAAAAGCAAAGAGAUCAACUGGUAAACCUUUGCAAGCAAACACGUGCGAAGGAAGAAGAAAUAGUCCAGCUAAUGGUUGAAGUGGAGGGAAAACAGUGGGAUGAUGUGUUAGCUAAACAAGCUGAACUGGAUGAGGAAAGACAGGCAGCUGUAAACGCCCAGUGGAGGUCACUUAUCUCUCAGGAAACAGAGACUAAGCAACAUCAAGGCAAGCUGCAAAAGAGUCUGGAGGAUUCACUAAAUCAUCAGAAAGAAAAGAGGCUCCGAUCUUCCUGCUCGUCCAGAGGGCUGCUGCACAAGCCCCAGAUUAAGACCACCAACAUAUCCUUGAACAAUCAGUCCCCCUCAGAUAAUUCAUCUUACUUUUCUUUAGAUCGUGGCCGAGGGGAGCUUGACUGUAAGGAAAGGGAGUUGAUGGAUGAAAUCAGGGAACUGAGGACAAAAUUGGCUGCCAGGGCCAGAGUUACUGACUUCAACUCAACUUCAGCCAUCUCUUCUAUACACUCUCACUGACUACUGACAUCACCACCAAGACAAGUGCCAAAGUGGGUGGAACCAGGCACACAUUGGAUAGAAUGUUUUUAGAUGGCAUAUUCCAGGAUGACAAUGCCUACAUUCAUCAAGCUCAAAUUGUGAAAGAGUGGUUCAGGGAGCAUGAGGAUCAUUUUCACACAUGAAUUGGCCACCACAGUGUCCUGACCUUAACCCUAUUGAAAGUCUUUGGGAUGUGCUGGAGAACACUUUAUGGAGUGGUUCGACUCUCCCGUCAUCAAUACAAGAUCUCGGCCAAAAAUGUAUGCAACUUGUGAUAGAAAUAAAUGUUGUGACAUUGCAUAAGGUUUUAAAAAGAAAUGCCAAGACAAAUGAUUGCCGUAAUCAAAGCCAAAGGCGGUCCAACAACAUAUUAGAGUAAGCAACUUUUUUUUUUACUUUUUCUUUUUGACUAGGCUGUGUAUUUUCCAGAGAAAUAGGUCUUUGCGCUAAGGUGUUUGAAAAGCAUGUCUUAUCUCACCGCAAAGUCCAAACACGGUUCCUGCAUUUGCAGUUUGGAUAUUUCACAAGCAGGUGGUAAUAAAGUUAAUGUCCAAUCUCUCACAAUAAAGGGGAACAUCAAAAAAUGUCCCUGACAAUCACUGUUGUAGCUGUUUUAUGAAACAAAAAUGUGAGAUUUGUGUUAACAUUUCUAUAGGUCAUGGUUUAUUUUUCAGUCAUUAUUAUUGUUUAUAUUUGUAUUCAUGAUCUAAUUUGUAUUCAUAUUUUUACACCUGUUGUUGUAGUGAUUUUUAAGCCCAAAAGAGGCUGGUGGAAGAAUUUGGAGAGGAUUACAUUUUUGGAUAUAGGGAGGUGAUUAUAUUAAAAUGUUUUGACCACUUCGUUAAUUUAUUUAUAUUUUAAUUUACUCUGAAAUGUGAUUUAAAUUAAGAAAUAUUUUUGGUAUUUCAAAUAAUGAAUUACAUUUUUAUAACAAAAUCGACAUGUAGAAGUUAAGUGUGUGCAAAAAUCCACAGCCUAACCAGGAAGUAACAGUCACUGUUAAUACUAGCCAUGAUUUUUGUGUCACUUGAUCAAUAUGAUUAAUAAUAGGCCUACUUACAUUCUCUAUUUUUUAACCGAGCAUACUGAUAAGAACCAUAUUUUCCAUGCGUAUAAAUGGAGCGUGCACUAGAAUGGACAACAUAAUAACCGGAGAAGAACCUCAAAAUUAAAUUGCACAAUUUCGCCAAACCCAUUUGCAGCCAGUUUGGGCAGCUUGCUAAGUUUUGAGGAACACCCGUAAUCACAUUUGAUAAGCACGCUUCAGGCUGUUGCUGGGAGGCGAGGAUGAACUAUCGUUAUUGAACACUUCAGGCUACGGGUGCUGAUGAGAGUGGGCAAGUUGUGUUUUCAUUUAAAUUCUGAUUUGUAGAUUUAUAAACUCUUAUUUCUGCAAUUACGCUGCAGAAAACAACAGACAGUCCUGGUUCGGUCUAGAUAAUCAAAUAUAAACAGUUGUCUAUAGUAAAAUAAUUUAUCAUAUAGACGUAUACCGGCUUUGUUGCGGAAUGUAACGUAAUGUAAUGUAACGCACUUGAGAAUUAUAAUUUUUUACUUUUUUGGCUGUUAUUUGUCCUCCAUUUGAAUUUAUCUGUUUACAAGA